UCAAUUUACAAUGACCAACUAACCUACCAACUGCUACGUCUAACCUGCCAACUGGAACUGUUCCAGCCUGCGAUUUAUUGCUUGGAGAUCGACUAGGUGAUCCAGCAUUUUGCUGUCUCCAAGAAGAUUCCGGGACGUGAGCAAGUACUUGGACGGCCUUGAAGCAAAGAAACUUGGAGACUGGACGCAAACCGAUGAUCGAUUCCACUUUGCCGAUUAAAACAUUGAGGAAGAUAAAGACGGGGAAGUGAAUGUGGAAAGUGUGCAAGAGUUCAGUACUGACUGCCUGCAUUUUGAUCACUGCUGGAGAAGGAGUUCCUGUGUGGCCUAUCACUGUGUGGCUCGCUGUGGCAGCCGGACGCUGCCUGACUUGCUGAGUGUUUUCAGCCUGAAUGGCCUUCAACUGGACCGAUGAAUCUAUUACUGAACAGGGUUCAGAGGCAGGUCUGUGUAAAACAAAAGAAGUCUCCUUCGCUCCUCAUCGACUGAAGGUGAUUAAAUUACUGGACUGGUAUCUUAGCGUGAUUAAAGAUCAGUUAAAGCUAAUCUUUAAUUGACUAGAUUAAUAAACUAGUCUAGCUCUUAGACUAGCAUUUUAACUGUCACAUGUACAUUGAAAGAUACAGUGAAAUGUGUUCUUCUGUGUCAAUGGCCAACACAAUUCAAGGUUUGUGCUUGGGGCAGCCUGUAUGUUUCCCGGUUUACUAACCUUCAUCUGUAUGUCUUUGGAAUGUGGGAGGAAACUGGAGCACCAGGAAAAAACCCACAUGAUCAUGGGAGCAACAUAUAAAUUGUAUAGGCAGUGCUGGGUAUUGAACCCUGAUUGGUGCUGCAAGGCAAUGUGCUAACUGUAAAGUUACCAUGCCACCGGAAGGCUAAGAGAUUUGAACAUAACUACAAGAACCAGAGUUAGAAUCCUACCAUUGCCUGCUGUGGAGUUUAAAUUCAGAUAUUCAUCUGAAAUUUGUAAAUAAAAAUUGUCACAAAGACCAACAAACUACAGGAUUUCUGUUGAAAUCCAUCUGCUUCAUCAAUGUCUUACAGUAGGAAGAAAUCGGCUGAAAACCAAAAUCUAUUUUGGUCUAUGUAUACUCAGUGGCCUCUUUUUUAGAUAUACCUGUGUAUCUGCUUGUUAAUGCAAAUAUCUAAUCAGCCAAUCCUGUGGCAGCAACUCAAUGCAUAAGAGCAUGCAGACACGGUCAAGAGGUUCAGUUUUUGUUCAGACCAGACAUCAAGCACAUCGCUCUCUAGGGUUAUACAGAGAAUGGUGCAGAAAACAAAAAAAAAUCCGGUGAUUGACCGAUCUGUGCGUGAAAACACCUUGUAAAGAGAGAGGUCAGACGGAGUCGAGGCAGACUUGUUCAAGCUGACAGGAAGGCAACAGUAACUGAAAUAGCCUCGUAACAGUGGUGUACAGAAGAGCACCUUCGUACACACAACACGUCAAACGCCGAUGUGGGUAGGCCACAGCAGCAGAAGCUCAAGUCGGGUCAGGAGAGCUUCUAAAGUGGUGAAAUGCAGUGGGUGGGAAGACAGCUGGUAGGAGGGGUGGUGCAGAAUAUGUUGGAAUUAUCACAGAAAUUUCAAAGUAAAUUUAUUAUCAAAGUUUGUAUAUGCCAUUAUAUACUACCUUGAGAUUAAUUUCCUUGCAGACAUUUGCAGGAACAUAAAGAAAUACAAUAUAAUUUAUUAAGCCUAUACAUAAACAAAGACUGACAGACAACCAAUGUGCAAAAGGAGAAAAAAACUGCAAAUAAAUAUUAAUAAUACUGAGAAAAUUAGUUGUAGAGACCUUGAAAGUGAGUCCAUAGGUUGUGGAAUCAGUUCAGAGUUGAGAUGAGGGCAGUUACCCACGCUGGUUCAGGAGCCUGAUGGAUGAAAGGCAAUAAUUGUUCUUGAACCUGUUGCUUUGGGAUCCAAGGCUUUUGUAGGUCCUGCCCAAUGGUCAUAGCGAGAAGAGAAUGUGGCCUGGAUGGUGGGGGUCCUGGAUGAUGGAUGAUGCUCUCUUGUGGCAGUGUUCCAGGUAAAUAUGUUUAGCGGUGGGGAGGGAGGGGUCAAAGGUUAUGUCAUUAUGUCACUAAGGGCAGAGGUGUGAAAUUACGGUGUCAACUGACCUUGAAUGGAAUGAAAAAUGCUCCAGGAGUCAGAGUCAAAGUGGAAGUCAAAUUGAUUAUCAAAGUACCAUCUGAUCACAUCAAAAUUAAUCUGAAGAAAUUCAACUUUACAUAUAAAAAACAGGGAAGAUAUUGCACUCAAUAGAUAGACCAGGAGGAAAUCUGUUCAAGAGAGAACUGUGCUAUAUAAGGUCAACUUCUACUUUGCAGCAGAGAACAAGUGGCUGCUGCUAAGGAAGAGAAUGAUCAACCAAAGGAUUCAACCACUAACCACAGCCACCACUUACUCUUGCCACACUCAACAUUCCCUCUAAAUAUUUUUCUAAACAGCUGUGUGAACCAUCUAUUGCCCUGAGUAGGAAUCCAUUCUAAUUAAUUAAAUUAUUUGUUUUUACACAGCCUGAAAACUGCGUGGCACUUUACAUGUUCUGUUUGUAAUUAUGUAUACCAUGAACAUUUAGAUUUACAUCAAACACAAAUGACACUCACAACACAAGUGAAUAUUGUCAGGUCGUCAAAUCAACUGGUGUCUGUGUUUAGCAGGUCAGUGUUUAUUUCCAUUCUGUAUUUAUUGUUACAAUUUGUAACAGUGUUGUAACUUGAAACACUGACAAUGUAAAUACAUUGAAGCUCUAAAUUAUUACAAAAUAAAAGCUAUGGUGCAUUUAUUAUAUCAGAAAUUUAUGCAUUAUAUUCAUUAACGCCAAAUUCAUUAGAGGAUAUUUCACAAUUAUAUUAGCAUAAUUACAAAAUUAUAUUAACAGAAAACUAUAUUAAAAAAAUUCCAGCUUUGUGGCAACAAGGCUAUGUGCAUGGAAGCAUUUCAGUUACUGUGUGGCCGUGCACCCGUGCAGUUUAAAGAAAGCAGUGCCCACACUGCACCAGAAUAUGUAGAUCCUGGAUCAGCCUCUACAGACACCUGAGGACCCACCAAUAAACAAUUCCUUUGGAGAACAUCAUACUCGACUCAAGAGAUUGCACUACAAUUUUAUCUCACCAUAUACUGUACUACCUUGAGCUGGUGUGUAGCCAAGUGGUUAAGGCAUUCGUCUAGUGAUCUGAAGCUCGCUAGUUCGAGCCUUGGCUGAGGCUGCGUGUGUGUCCUUGAGCAAGGCACUUAACCACACAUUGCUCUGCGAUGACACCGGUGCCAGGCUGUAUGGGUCCUAAUGCCCUUCCCUUGGACAACAUCGGUGGUGUGGAGAGGGGAGACUUGCAGCUUGGGCAAUUGCCGGUCUUCCAUAAAAGAAAAACGUUGCCCAGGCUUGCGCCCUGUAAACUCUCCAAGGCACAAAUCCAUGGUCUAUUGAGACUAAUGGAGGUCUACACUACCUUGAGACUUUUCUUGAAAAUAGAGAA